AUUGAACGCUGGCGGCAGGCCUAACACAUGCAAGUCGAGCGGAUGAAGGGAGCUUGCUCCUGGAUUCAGCGGCGGACGGGUGAGUAAUGCCUAGGAAUCUGCCUGGUAGUGGGGGAUAACGUCCGGAAACGGGCGCUAAUACCGCAUACGUCCUGAGGGAGAAAGUGGGGGAUCUUCGGACCUCACGCUAUCAGAUGAGCCUAGGUCGGAUUAGCUAGUUGGUGGGGUAAAGGCCUACCAAGGCGACGAUCCGUAACUGGUCUGAGAGGAUGAUCAGUCACACUGGAACUGAGACACGGUCCAGACUCCUACGGGAGGCAGCAGCGGGGAAUAUUGGACAAUGGGCGGAAGCCUGAUCCAGCCAUGCCGCGUGUGUGAAGAAGGUCUUCGGAUUGUAAAGCACUUUAAGUUGGGAGGAAGGGCAGUAAGUUAAUACCUUGCUGUUUUGACGUUACCAACAGAAUAAGCACCGGCUAACUUCGUG
rnacentral:rRNA from 1 species